UACAAAGCAACAGGUGAAGAUUUCCUUAAAAUUGCUGGUGGUACUUCCAAUGAGGUAGCCCAGUUUCUCUCCAAGGAAAAUCAAGUCAUUGUCCGCAUGCGGGGGCUCCCUUUCACGGCCACAGCUGAAGAAGUGGUGGCCUUCUUUGGACAGCAUUGCCCUAUUACUGGGGGAAAGGAAGGCAUCCUCUUUGUCACCUACCCAGAUGGUAGGCCAACAGGGGACGCUUUUGUCCUCUUUGCUUGUGAGGAAUAUGCACAGAAUGCGUUGAGGAAGCAUAAAGACUUGUUGGGUAAAAGAUACAUUGAACUCUUCAGGAGCACAGCAGCUGAAGUUCAGCAGGUUGGUUUUAAAAACAAGUAUGUUGUGCCUUUGCAUUAAUUUCUGUUCUUUAUCUCUGAAAAUAGUCCUACAUUGCUCAUUAUGUUAAAAUAAUACUGGCAAAAUACUAAAAGUG
rnacentral:sRNA from 1 species